GAUGAACGCUGGCGGCGUGCCUAAUACAUGCAAGUCGAGCGAACAGACGCGGAUCUUGCUCCUCUGACGUUAGCGGCGGACGGGUGAGUAACACGUGUAUAACCUCCCUAUAAUACUGGUAUAACUUCGGGAAACCGGCGCUAAUACCGUAUAAUAUAUUGCACCGCAUUGUUCAAUAGUGAAAUACGGUUUUUCUGUCACUUCUAGAUGGAUCCGCGCCGCAUUAGCUAGUUGUUAAGGUAACGGCUUACCACGGCAACGAUGCGUAGCCGACCUGAGAGGGGGAUAGGCCACACUGGAACUGAGACACGGUCAAGACGACUAAGGGAGGCCGCAGUAGGGAAUCUGCCGCAAUGGGCGAAAGCAUGACGGAGCAGCGCGGCGUGAGUGAUGAAAGUCUUCGGAGCGUAAAAAUCGGUUAUUAGGGAAGAACAAAUGUGUAAGUAACUAUGCACGGAUUGACGGUACCUAAUAAGAAAGCAACGGCUAACUACGUG
rnacentral:rRNA from 1 species